rnacentral:rRNA from 1 species
GUUGGGCGAUGAUAUUCAUUGGCUGCAGCUUCUUAGAGGGACGUGCGUUCUAUUAGACGCAGGAAGAUAGGGGCAAUAACAGGUCUGUGAUGCCCUUAGAUGUCCUGGGCCGCACGCGCGUUACACUGAUGCACUCAACGAGUCUACCUUGGCCGAGAGGCCUGGGAAAUCUUGUUAACAUGCAUCGUGAUAGGGAUAGAUUAUUGCAAUUAUUAAUCUUGAACGAGGAAUUCCUAGUAAACGCAGAUCAUCAAUCUGCAUUGAUUACGUCCCUGCCCUUUGUACACACCGCCCGUCGCACCUACCGAUUGAAUGGUCCGGUGAAGCCUCGGGAUUGCGAUGAGUUUCCUUCAUUGGGAGUUCGUC